rnacentral:lncRNA from 10 species
CCCUGAGUCACUAGGCUUCCCACCUCAAUUAGUCUGCAUUUGCUCAUUUUCCCACUCUAACAUUUCUUAGUAGUAACCAGCUUCUAUCUUCUCUUUGCUUUACAUGGUCACUCUUCCUUUUGUGAUCAUCCCCCAAAUAUCUCUUAUCUCAGUUGGCACUCACUGCUGUCAUUUAUCCUCUCUAAUCACCUGAACUCCUAGGUGUUGGGUGAACCUGUCCCUUAGGCUACCGUAGCUUGCAGAGACUUGGCUUUCAGCCUUAAGGUUCAACAUGCUGCUGGAGUUCCUUCCAUUGCCUCCAUCUUCCAGGCAGCUGGAAGUGGAAGGAACAAGACAUCUCACCACCAAGCCAGCUUUCUCACACAAAGAAUGCAGAGGCAACUGACCAGACACGUAACUGCGUACCAGAGAGAGGGAAAAGCAGAAUGAGGCACAAACAAAUGCAUUUCAGAGAAUGCAGCUAAGCAUAUUUUCCUCAAAUAUAACCUGGUCUGCAGAGGUGCAGCUCUGACUUCAACAUCACCAUUAAUAACUUCAUCACCAAGCAAUUUUACCUUCUUGGAGCUGAAAUGUCAAGCAUCACCACUUGUGUGGAGGGACUUUGUAGAGCUAAAAAGCCUACUGGAGUUGUUUCAGAACAACAAAAAAACCACCCCCCAACAAUUGUUGAAGAGUAUUUCAUUUGUGUAAUAAAAGAGCUGAAAAAAAUAUUCCAAUUGAGCAUUCUCUGGACACCCACAGUCCCUUGGCCCUGAAGAAACAGUUGACCUUACUCUGGGAUGGGGCAUUAACAAAAGACAAAAAUUAAGUCCUGAGAAUCAGAACUAAGAGUCAGAAAUACGCAAGUGGUUGACAUCUUUGUGUCUCAGCUUUCUGACCUAUAUCCUAAACAUGAUGUGUGUGAGACUCUUCAUUUGCUG